rnacentral:rRNA from 1 species
UACAUGGGGUGCAAACGUUGCUCGGAAUUAUUGGGCGUAAAGCGCGCGUAGGCGGUUACUCAAGUCGGAUGUGAAAGCCCUCGGCUUAACUGAGGAAGUGCACCCGAAACUGAGUAGCUAGAGUACCAAAGAGGGUCGCGGAAUUCCCGGUGUAGAGGUGAAAUUCGUAGAUAUCGGGGAGGAACACCGGUGGCGAAGGCGGCGACCUGGGUGGAUACUGACGCUGAGGCGCGAAAAGCGUGGGGAGCAAACAGGAUU